rnacentral:rRNA from 1 species
ACGCUGGCGGCACGCCUAACACAUGCAAGUCGAACGAAGUAGCAAUACUUAGUGGCAGACGGGUGAGUAACAUGUAGGUAUCUGCCCUUUGGCCUGGAAUAACACGAGGAAACUUGUGCUAAUACCGGAUAAGUCUUUACGGAGAAAGCUUUAUGCACCAUUGGAUGAGCCUGCACUUGAUUAGUUUGUUGGUGGGGUAAUGGCCUACCAAGACUGUGAUCAAUAGCUGAUUUGAGAGGAUGAUCAGCCACAUUGGGACUGAGACACGGCCCAAACUCCUACGGGAGGCAGCAGUGGGGAAUCUUGCACAAUGGAGGAAACUCUGAUGCAGCGAUGCCGCGUGAGUGAAGAAGGCCUUUGGGUUGUAAAGCUCUUUCGUCGGGGAAGAAAAUGACUGUACCCGAAUAAGAAGGUCCGGCUAACUUCGUGCCAGCAGCCGCGGUAAUACGAAGGGACCUAGCGUAGUUCGGAAUUACUGGGCUUAAAGAGUUCGUAGGUGGUUGAAAUAGUUGGUGGUGAAAUCCCAGAGCUUAACUCUGGAACUGCCAUCAAAACUUUUCAGCUAGAGUAUGAUAGAGGAAAGCAGAAUUUCUAGUGUAGAGGUGAAAUUCGUAGAUAUUAGAAAGAAUACCAAUUGCGAAGGCAGCUUUUCUGGAUCAUUACUGACACUGAGGAACGAAAGCAUGGGUAGCGAAGAGGAUUAGAUACCCUCGUAGUCCAUGCCGUAAACGAUGUGUGUUAGACGUUGGAAAUUUAUUUUCAGUGUCGCAGGGAAACCGAUAAACACACCGCCUGGGGAGUACGACCGCAAGGUUAAAACUCAAAUGAAUUGACGGGGACCCGCACAAGUAGUGGAGCAUGUGGUUUAAUUCGAAGAUACGCGCAGAACCUUACCAACACUUGACAUGUUCGUCGCGACUCUAAGAGAUUAGAGUUUUCGGUUCGGCCGGACGAAACACAGGUGCUGCAUGGCUGUCGUCAGCUCGUGUCGUGAGAUGUUGGGUUAAGUCCCGCAACGAGCGCAACCCUCACUUUUAGUUGCCAUCAUUAAGUUGGGCACUCUGAAAGAACUGCCAGUGAUAAGCUGGAGGAAGGUGGGGAUGACGUCAAGUCCUCAUGGCCCUUACGUGUUGGGCUACACACGUGCUACAAUGGUAUCUACAACAGGAAGCAAGACUGCGAAGUUAAGCAAAUCCCUAAAAGAUACCUCAGUUCGGAUUGCACUCUGCAACUCGAGUGCAUGAAGCUGGAAUUACUAGUAAUCGUGGAUCAGCGUGCCACGGUGAAUGCGUUCCCGGGUCUUGUACACACCGCCCGUCACACCAUGGGAGUUGGUUCUACCUUAAG